rnacentral:rRNA from 1 species
GAUGAACGCUGGCGGCGUGCCUAAUACAUGUCAGUCGAGCGAACAGACGAGGAGCUUGCUCCUUUGACGUUAGCGGCGGACGGGUGAGUAACACGUAGGUAACCUACCUAUAAGACUGGGAUAACUUCGGGAAACCGGAGCUAAUACCGGAUAAUAUUUCGAACCGCAUGGUUCGAUAGUGAAAGAUGGCUUUGCUAUCACUUAUAGAUGGACCUGCGCCGUAUUAGCUAGUUGGUAAGGUAACGGCUUACCAAGGCAACGAUACGUAGCCGACCUGAGAGGGUGAUCGGCCACACUGGAACUGAGACACGGUCCAGACUCCUACGGGAGGCAGCAGUAGGGAAUCUUCCGCAAUGGGCGAAAGCCUGACGGAGCAACGCCGCGUGAGUGAUGAAGGUCUUCGGAUCGUAAAACUCUGUUAUUAGGGAAGAACAAACGUGUAAGUAACUGUGCACGUCUUGACGGUACCUAAUCAGAAAGCCACGGCUAACUACGUG